AUCACAUCAGGCUGUUAGUGAAGUUCAUAUCUCUUCAGUUUCAACAUAAACCAUGUUCUCUGUAGCUCUGCUGCUGCUGUUGGCAGCUGGACGUGUAAAAAGUGAACAGUUGACACAGCCGGCCUCUGUGACUGUGCAGCCAGGUCAACGUCUGACCAUCACCUGUCAGGUCUCCUAUGCUCUUAGCAGCUACUGGACAGCUUGGAUCAGACAGCCUGCAGGGAAAGGACUGGAGUGGAUUGGAAUGAAAUAUACUGGAGACUUCAUACUACAAAGAUUCACUGAAGAACAAGUUCAGUAUCGACUUAGACUCUUCCAGCAAAACAGUGACUCUAAACGGACAGAAUGUGCAGCCUGAAGACACUGCUGUGUAUUACUGUGCCAGAGACUCACAAUAA